rfam:Salmo salar isolate Sally breed double haploid chromosome ssa01, whole genome shotgun sequence.
UGCUCUCACAACUGUAAGUCGCUCUGGAUAAGAGUGUCUGUUAAAUAAGUCAAA